rnacentral:rRNA from 1 species
UACGAAGGGGGCUAGCGUUGUUCGGAUUUACUGGGCGUAAAGCGCACGUAGGCGGCUUUGUAAGUAAGAGGUGAAAGCCCAGAGCUCAACUCUGGAAUUGCCUUUAGACUGCAUCGCUUGAAUCAUGGAGAGGUCAGUGGAAUUCCGAGUGUAGAGGUGAAAUUCGUAGAUAUUCGGAAGAACACCAGUGGCGAAGGCGGCUGACUGGACAUGUAUUGACGCUGAGGUGCGAAAGCGUGGGGAGCAAACAGG